rnacentral:lncRNA from 1 species
AGCUGCCAUCUCCGCUCGGGGAAGCAAACGGCCAGUCCUUGACACGCCGCAGGCUUGGAGCCUACCGGGAAGGGUCAGCGAUAAUGAAACUUUGAGCUUUCUGCCAGAUUGCGUGACGGAGGGCUUUGGUCUUGGGGAGAGAAAACGCGGAGGAAACUGUGGAUACCUGUUGGCAUCAGUGUUGGCGGCGCCAGGGGAGCGUGCUUUCCAUUCACCGCACGGAUCCCGCAGUGAAGGCGCGCGGCUGCAGAGGCGCCUGCCUGCGUCCAGAGGCGGCGAAAUCGCCAGGCGAUCGCGAAGAGGGUGACCGGCGGGAAAACUGGAUGGGCACAGCUUGGAGCUUGCUACUCCCCAGUAUCCUCUGUCAGAGCAGUUUAAAAAACCCAUCAGCAAAGCCCUGAGGCGUCCCCAU